rnacentral:lncRNA from 1 species
UGCCAGGGUAACCUCCCCCAGCCAAUCAGCAGUCAUGGAUGAGAUGGAUCUACCCCAGAUGAAGAAGGAAGUGGAGAGCCUGAAAUACCAACUGGCCUUCAAGAGAGAGAAGUCUUCCAAGACAGUCACUGACAUGGUGAAGUGGAUCGAGGACGGCGUACCCGAGGACCCCUUCCUGAACCCUGAACUCAUGAAGAACAACCCCUGGGUGGAGAAGGGAAAGUGUGUCCUGUUGUAGACUGAUUACCGACCCCUGACCCUGCCGUGACCUCUGACCCCAGCCUGAUGGGGCAUGGCAGGACAGCACCCCCCCCUGCUAGUUUCAGCCACGUUGAUGCAUCACAGAUUACCUUUAAUUCUAUGUUGAUAUGAUAUGAAGUGUAUUUAUGCAGCCAGUCACUCACUCACUCAGUCAGCCAGUCACUCACUCACUCAGUCAGCCAGUCACUCACUCAGUCACUCACUCAGUCAUCCAGUCACUCACUCAGUCAGCCAGUCAGCCAGUCACUCAGUCAUCCAGUCACUCACUCACUCAGCCAGUCAGUUAUUCAGCCAGCCAGUCAGUUAGUCAGUCAGCCAGUCAGUCAGUCAGCCAGUCAGUUAGUCAGCCAGUCAGUCAGCCAGCCAGCUAGUCAGCCAGCCAGUCAGUCAGCCAGUCAGCCAGCCAGUCAGUCAGCCAGUCAGUCAGCCAGCCAGUCAGCCAGUCAUCCAGUCACUCACUCAGUCAGCCAGUCAGCCAGUCACUCAGUCAUCCAGUCACUCACUCACUCAGCCAGUCAGUUAUUCAGCCAGCCAGUCAGUUAGUCAGUCAGCCAGUCAGUCAGUCAGCCAGUCAGUCAGUCAGCCAGCCAGCUAGUCAGCCAGCCAGUCAGUCAGCCAGUCAGCCAGCCAGUCAGUCAGCCAGUCAGCCAGCCAGUCAGCCAGUCAGUCAGUCAGCCAGUCAGUCAGCCAGUCAGUCAGCCAGCCAGCCAGUCAGCGCAACACGGACGGGAACGGACACGGAAACACACACACACACACACACACACACACACACACACACACACACACACACACACACACACACACACUGUACAGACGAGCCCCUUUAACUUGUUAUUAAAUUAUUGAUUGUGUUUUUUUUGUUUUAUUUAUGUAUUUAUUGAUAAGCUCCUCCGCACGGCGGCCAUGUUGUGUUGUCUAUCUCCGCCCCACGCUCCCAACAACAACAACUGUACUGGCCAGGGAUAUACCAUACACCAUCGCUCUGGCCCCAACGUACGUGUGUGUGUGUGUGUGUGUGUGUGUUGCUUAAUUUGAUCCCGUCACCUCUCCGUUUUGAACCGUUUUGUUUCCGGAAUCUAUUUGAUUGGAUCCAGAACCUCUCGUGACAUGAAAAAUAAUUUCCACUUCUUUGCAAUCAAAAAUAAUAAUAAUAAUUAAAAGUUGUCUCUUCAUUACCUCUCCUGCCCCUAAAGAAAACCGUAAUGUGAAAAAGCAGAUUUUCAGUCCGCGGUUUAAUAUUCUACGAGUUGAUUUGGGUUGAGACCAGACCAGGUUCUUACGUAACAUUUUAUAAUCUAUAUUUGAGACCGACUCGCGACGGUAAGUUAGAAGUGUAGAAAUGCGUCAUACUAGAACUAGAUUCUCUUCUCUAUGAAUCUAUGCUGUAAGCUGCCCCCCCCAAAAAAAAAAUAUUGAAUCAACUUCUAAAUAUUGUUUUACAAAAAAAAAUUCAAAAUAGAGAGUCAGAGAUGGAGAUAAGGCUUAUGGAAGGAGCGCGGUCGUCGACAAUCACCAGCGAGUCACUUGUGUUUCAGUGAAACUGGAAAGCAUUUUUUGUUUUUGGUGGCGAUAAUUUCCUCGUAUUGUAGCCUAUAAUAUGUGUCUCCACACACCGAGGCCUCAGGUUAUUGAUGAAUUCAAAACAAGGCCGUUUUUUAAAAAUAUAUUGAUCUCUAAUUCUCUAGUUUUGUCAGUGUCAAAGUAGACUGUCGUUUUUUUUGAUCAUUUGGUAUUAAAGAAUAUUCUGACCAAAGUCUCCAGUCGUGUAAAAAAACGACGUAGAAUCGCAUUUAAUGCGUUUUUAAAGGGACAACAUUUCCCCCCGGACCCUAGGAUACUGAAAAUGUUCCCCGGACCCUAGGAUACUGAAAAUGUCCCCCCGGACCCUAGGAUACUGAAAAUGUUCCCCGGACCCUAGGAUACUGAAAAUGUUCCCCGGACCCUAGGAUACUGAAAAUGUUCCCCGGACCCUAGGAUACUGAAAAUGUUCCCCGGACCCUAGGAUACUGAAAAUGUUCCCCGGACCCUAGGAUACUGAAAAUGUUCCCCGGACCCUAGGAUACUGAAAAUGUUCCCCGGACCCUAGGAUACUGAAAAUGUUCACUGGACCCUAGGAUACUGAAAAUGUUCCCCGAACCCUAGACUACUGAAAAUGUUCCCCGGACCCUAGGAUACUGAAAAUGUUCCCCGGACCCUAGGAUACUGAAAAUGUUCCCCGGACCCUAGGAUACUGAAAAUGUUCACUGGACCCUAGGAUACUGAAAAUGUUCCCCGAACCCUAGACUACUGAAAAUGUUCCCUGGACCCUAGGAUACUGAAAAUGUUCCCCGGACCCUAGGAUACUGAAAAUGUUCACUGGACCCUAGGAUACUGAAAAUGUUCCCCGAACCCUAGACUACUGAAAAUGUUCCCUGGACCCUAGGAUACUGAAAAUGUUCCCAGGACCCUAGGAUACUGAAAAUGUUCCCCGGACCCUAGGCUUCUGAAAAUGUCCCCCUGGACCCUAGACUACUGAAAAUGUUCCCUGGACCCUAGGAUACUGAAAAUGUUCCCAGGACCCUAGACUACUGAAAAUGUUCCCCGGACCCUAGGCUACUGAAAAUGUUCCCCGAACCCUAGACUACUGAAAAUGUUCCCAGGACCCUAGGCUACUGAAAAUGUCCCCAGACCCUAGGGUACUGAAAAUGUUCCCUGGACCCUAGGCUAUUGAAAAUGUUCCCCUGGACCCUAGGCUACUGAAAAUGUUCCCUGGACCCUAGGCUACUGAAAAUGUUCCCCGAACCCUAGGCUACUGAAAAUGUUACCCGACCCUAGGCUACUGAAAACGUUCCUCAUGUGUGCACCUUGUGUAGGUGCCUCUACUAUACGAUUUGAUUUGAUUUGAUAUACUGCUCUAUGCCGCUACGCUAAUGUGAGGAUAUGAAUGCUUUAUUAUAAAAUUAGAAUUUUCUUUUUUUCACCUCCCGAUUUACAAAUUAAGCACUGUGUGUGUGUUUGUGUGUGUGUGUGUGUGUGUGUGUGUGUGUGUGUGUGUGUGUGUGUGUGUGUGUGUGUGUGUGUGUGUGUGUGUGUGUGUGUGUGUGUGUGUUAGUAUGGAUGAAAGGUAGAUGGUCCUUGAAGAUCUUUAGUGUUUAGGAAAUACUUCAUGCUAUGAAAAAAAGGGUGAAAGGUUUGGGCGGAAUAGAAGCAUCGGUCGUCUAUUAUUUACGUUACUAUGACAACGGUGGACCGGACCGGGUCUGUCUAUGUACCCAUUUGUUUGAAUUACCACAGCUAGAACCCGUGGAACCGUCUAGACGUGCCACAGCUAGAACCCGUGGGAACCGUCUAGACGUGCCACAGCUAGAACCCGUGGGAACCGUCUAGACGUGCCACAGCUAGAACCCGUGGAACCGUCUAGACGUGUCACAGCUAGAACCCGUGGGAACCGUCUAGACGUGCCGCAGAUAGAACCCGUGGAACCGUCUAGACGUGCCGCAGCUAGAACCCGUGGAACCGUCUAGACGUGCCGCAGAUAGAACCCGUAGAACAGUCUAGACGUGCCGCAGAUAGAACCCGUGGAACCGUCUAGACGUGGCCCGUUUCCUUGUGAUGAGAUCUGCUUUUGUAAAAAUGAUUAUGAUGCAUCUGAUCCUCUGUUACUUUAAAUGACGACGAGCAAUAAAGUUGGUGUCCUUUUGUGUAUAUAUAUAUAUAUAUAUAUAUAUAUAUUGCAUGUUUUACUAAUAAACGUUGAUCUUAGUCAAUAAAAAAGGGUUUUUAAGACA